UAAUUCAGAUCAUUACUACUACCAGUAAUUAAACAUGGGUCCCUUUUCAAAAGUCUUCCAACAGUUUCCUUGAUUUCGCUAGUUAAUCUUUUAUAUUUUUGUUACGUUAAUAUGCUAUAAUAGACACUUGGGUAAAAAUUUCACUGCAUUCUUUUGCAGAUUGUUCCAAUGUUUUCUUAUAAUUUUAAUAAAGUUUUUCACCAUUUGGUUGUAUUUUGUAAUAAGAGUAAGUGGGUAUUUUUCUUGUUCUUGUAUUUCUAAAGUUUUUUUUAUUAAUAAUUUGGAACCAAAUCGAAGGACUAACGAGUUCUGUCCCCUUGUUGUUUUAAGCUUGUAAUAGAUUCAGAUUAAGUAUGUUAAUUAGAUAUGUGCGCAUAAAAAGUGCGCACAAAUCUCAGUGUGUAAUUUUAAAUUCUCAGUGUGUAAUUUUAAAUUCUCAGUGUGUAAUUUCAAAUUCUCAGUGUGUGUUUUUCAGUUUAUUUAUUCUCAGUGUGUCUUUUUGAAAUCUCAGUGUGUAAUUUUCAAUUCUCAGUGUUUAAUAUUCAAUUCUCAGUGUGCAUUUUUCAUUUUUGUAAUCUCAGUGUGUCUUUAUGAAAUCUCAGUGUGUAAUUUUUAAUUCUCAGUGUGUAAUUUUCAAUUCUCAGUGUGUAAUUUUCAAUUCUCAGUGUGCGUAUUGAAGUUUUUAAAUCUCAGUGUGCUUUUUUGUAAUUCUCAGUGUGUAAAUUUUUCGAAAAAUGGUUUAAACAUAGUUUUGACGAGAACGGCUUGACAUAAUAAAG
rnacentral:lncRNA from 1 species